GUUUCCUUGAUCAGUCCUUUUAUCACCAUUUUAAAGUCUGUGUGGGACAAACUAUUUUUCGAAUGAUCAUAUUUUAUUUUGAUUUGUGCAGAUAUACGGAGAUGAGUAUGAGUUUUGGCCAGUGAGGAACUUGGGGUCAUUGGGUGUGGAUGUUUGAAUAAUCAGAGUAUUCCAUAGUGUGCAAGUGGAACUUCUCAGAAUAUUUGGUUAUUAGCAAAAAUCUGUGAUUUGGUUUGUCGAUAUGGGACCUUUAAUCCAGGCCCAGUGUCCGGAUAUAUAGCUUAGGUAUUAGGUAUAUAUAAUAUCAUUAUCUGCUGCAGCUGUAGUCGUAAUAUUUGCAAAAAGACAAGUGCUUUUCUGAGAACAUUGUUCGCAAAUUUGGAAUGCAUUAUUAAUCAACAAAAACAAAAUAAAAAGUCGACGAUUUUCUGAAUUUCUUUAGAAAUUGUUGCUAAUUAUUUGAUUUAGUAGUCUAGUUAGUGUUUAUGGUAUUUCAGUGUUUUUUUGUUUGGAUUUUCUGGACGUUGUGAAUUGUGGUCUAGUUUUGGCUAUCCAUAAAAUAAGUCAUUUUAUUUAUUUAUUGAAAGUCA